CCAAUUUUUAAGUGUUUUACGUAAUAACUCCAAUUCGGAGAAAGCGUAGUUACAAUUGAAAGACAUGGAACAAUCAUUCCUUGAAAGAGGGUAUACCAAAGAUGGAUUCCAUCAAUCACGUUCAAGAGCUCAUGACAUUUUUCAAUCCACUACCCAGAUUCAAACCAAGGCACAACAAGACACCCCGAGGAUCCCCAUGCCUUUACAAUAUAACACAGCAAGUAACGGCAUAUCUUCAGCGAUCAAAAAGAUAGAAAUUACUAGCUAAAGAUCAUACACUUUGCUCUGAUUUUACUCAAACUCCACGUAUAGCCUUUUGCAGGAAAAGAAAUCUCAUGACAUUCCCAGCCAAGAUGCAAAGAUAAAAGCCUUUGUCAAAAAGGGAUGCUUCCGUCGUCCCACCUUCGCACAUCCCCACUCAGGUAAACGAUUCCACAUCAGACAUCACAUUUGAUGUCUCAGAGACCACGUCAUCUAUUUUAUAUCAUGCCCCUGCGGUCUAUAUUACGUAGGCAAAACCG